GAUGAACGCUGGCGGCGUGCCUAAUACAUGCAAGUCGAGCGAACGGACGAGAAGCUUGCUUCUCUGAUGUUAGCGGCGGACGGGUGAGUAACACGUGGAUAACCUACCUAUAAGACUGGGAUAACUUCGGGAAACCGGAGCUAAUACCGGAUGAUAUUUUGAACCGCAUGGUUCAAGAGUGAAAGACGGUCUUGCUGUCACUUAUAGAUGGAUCCGCGCUGCAUUAGCUAGUUGGUAAGGUAACGGCUUACCAAGGCAACGAUGCAUAGCCGACCUGAGAGGGUGAUCGGCCACACUGGAACUGAGACACGGUCCAGACUCCUACGGGAGGCAGCAGUAGGGAAUCUUACGCAAUGGGCGAAAGCCUGACGGAGCAACGCCGCGUGAGUGAUGAAGGUCUUCGGAUCGUAAAACUCUGUUAUUAGGGAAGAACAUAUGUGCAAGUAACUGUGCACAUCUUGACGGUACCUAAUCAGAAAGCCACGGCUAACUACGUG
rnacentral:rRNA from 1 species